rnacentral:rRNA from 1 species
AUAAUAAAUUGUCUUUUAAUUGAAGGCUGGGAUGAAAGAAUUAACGAGAUAAAGACUGUCUCUUAAUGUAAUUAAUAAAUUAAAAUUUUAGUUAAAAUGCUAAAAUAAAUAAAUUAGACGAGAAGACCCUAUAGAAUUUUAUUUAUAUUCAUGUAAAAUAUUUUUAAUUUAAGAUAAAUUAUUUAWAUAUAAAUUUUAUUGGGAGGAUAUUUAUAAUUAAUUAUCUAUAAAUUAAAUUWACAAUAAUAUUUGGUUUWAAGAAUUUUUAUUAGGGAAAUUAGAUAAAUUACCUUAGGGAUAACAGCGUAAUAUUUUUUUAAAGAUCAUAUUGAAAAAAAUGUUUGC